rnacentral:rRNA from 1 species
GACAGAGGGUGCAAGCGUUGUUCGGAAUCAUUGGGCGUAAAGGGCGCGUAGGCGGUUUUGUAAGUCGGAUGUGAAAGCCCAGGGCUUAACCUUGGAAGUGCAUCCGAAACUGCAUAACUGGAGUCUCGGAGAGGGUGGUGGAAUUCCCAGUGUAGAGGUGAAAUUCGUAGAUAUUCGGAAGAACACCAGUGGCGAAGGCGACUUACUGGACACAUAUUGACGCUGAGGUGCGAAAGCGUGGGGAGCAAACAGG